rnacentral:lncRNA from 1 species
AACAUUUCUGAGGACAGAAAAGCAGCUGAAGAGGCAGCCAGAGUGGCAAAUUGCUUAUGCAGCUCAAGUUCAUGAAAUGGUGGAGCGAGGAGCAGCAAUCAAGCUCACUGAGGACAUGAUCAACGUCUGGAAUGGACCGGUGUGGUAUGUGAGCCACUUAAUUGCACCAAAUCCUCACUCAGUUACUACUCCAGUGCGCUUAGUAUGGAACAGUAGUCAGAAGUUUAAAGGAGUGAGCAUGAAUGAUCUUCUUCUGAAAGGUCCAGAUGUUCUUAAUCCCAUCAGAGCUGUCCUUCUAAGGUUUAGAAGAGGAGUUUAUGCUGUCCUCGGAGAUAUCAGGAAAAUGUACAACUCUGUAUGGUUGGAGGACAGAGAGAUGCAUCUCCAUAGGUUUCUGUGGAGAGAUAGUCAGAGUGGAGAAAUAGGAGAAUAUGCAAUCACCAGAGUUAACAUCGGUGACCGACCAGCAGGGUGCAUUGCACAAUUAGCCAUGCGAGAAACUGCAAAACUGACAAAGUUCACUCAUCUCCACGAGGAGUGUAAAGUCGUUGAAGAGGAUAGUUAUGUAGAUGACAUUUUGACAUCCCACAAUGAUCUGAAGAGAUUGAAUCAAAUAACUGAAGGUGUUGAGGAGAUCCUACAAACUAGAGGAUUUUUCUUGAAGCACUGGGUUCGAUCAGAACAAAGUUGGAAGCCUGGUGAUGGUGAGUCAAAGUCAGUAGUAGAAGACAAAAUCCUGAAACUUCCAACCCAGUUGGGGGAUAAAGACAACAAGGCCCUUGGAGUUGGAUAUAUAGCGGAGGAAGAUAAACUCUACAUCAUGACAUCAAUCAAUUUUUCCAAGCGGAGAAAGAAGAUGAGAGUUGGACAAAACCUCAAAAAGGAGGAGGUAAGGAUCAAGACUCCUGAUCCUCUGACCAGAAGGGAACUGCUGAGUGAAGUAGCUGGACUAUAUGAUCCAAUUGGCCUGGUCACUCCUGUGAAGCAAAAAGGAGCUAUCCUUGUACGAAAGGCAUUUCAGGAUGCAGGACAUGGAAGUUUGACCAAACACGCAUGGGACAAACCACUAUCAGAAAGCCUUAGAGAAGAAGCCAUUAAAGUGUUUGAGGAGUAUGUUCAGCUUGGUCAAUUAAAGUUCCUCAGAGGCUUAACACCUUCAGGUUCGAAAGGAAAACCAAAGGGAAUCACA